UGAAGUUGAAAGAACUUGAGAAGCCAGCUGU
rnacentral:piRNA from 1 species